GUUCCCCUUUGCUUGUUUGCUUCCGUGCUCCUCCUCCUCCACUCUUCCUUCCUUCCUUCCCUCCCACUACUAGUAGUAAUAGUAGUUCACUACUACUGCUACAUCCUCUCCCUCCCUCUCUACCACCAUUACUACUACUCGCCUCCCUUCUCUUCUAUCACUCCCUCCCUCCCUCUCCCUCCUGCUCGGUGCUGGAUGAACGCACUGCUGCUCCCGCCCCACUUCCCUUGGCUUCCUUCACUUGCCGAGCCUGGCUCCUCCUUCCUCCACUACUGCUCCGUUGUUGCAGCAGCAGCAGGUGAUCGCAACCGGGCCAGCCCAGCCGUGCGGUGACAUCCGGCGUUGGUUCGAUUGUUCGUUUGUUCGUUGGUGGCAGUGGUGGUACCACCACCACCGGGACAUGACCUGGAUGACCGGGUGCUGCUCAGAAUGUUCCCCCCCUGCGGAGCUCGUACCGACAUGUAAGGAGGAGGAGGCGAGGUGGCGUGGCCUGGAGUCAACGCUCUCCAAUUCGGCUUCGUCGUGGAGGUUGAGAUUCGUUCCCUGUGGCAAUUGCGGGUUAAUUUGGCAAGCGCGGUGCGUCGCCGGACGGGUUUCGUGCGGGCUGGCCCAAGCUGCCGCUGGGUCGCGGUUUUAGGGGUUUUGAGGUGGCAUGAGAGAUGCUACGGGGCAACUUCGGUAGAGAGGAAUUGAGCCUUGGGGCCACGAUUGUGUGUGUGGGUGUGGCGACGGAGGUUUUGCGCCGCGCGGAGGAGGACUCGUUUGGCAGCAGGUUUUGAGGGAGACGGUGGGUAGAAGCGAGAGAGUGAGAGAGCGAGAGCGAGAGAGAGAGUGAGGAAGGGCAGGAAAGUUGAGGCUAUGGGGGCUUUGUGUUGCUGCCUCAGCUCAGACGCCUUCGAAGACUACCUGCCGUAUCAGAACGGGACGUUCAUCCAAGAUUAUUUUUGUUUUCGAUGCUGCUUGCCCUGGUUCUCCAACACGCGUUACAGUACAGAUUUUGGUGAAGUAGACCACCAGGAUACUAUAUUUUCGAGACAAGUGUCGACGUCGGGCGGUGCAGGAACUGUAGGUGGCAGCAACUUAGAGCCUACCAUUCCCGACGUCUUCCAAGCACCUCCAACGCCUUUGCCUUACGACACGGACCCGCGCUACCCACGUAUCAACCGUGAUGGCCUCUCACGGCGGGAUAAGAGUGGAAUGAGCCACCUGAAUCCUGGGGGAGGGCCAACCCUGCGACCCAACAACUCUGACGCCGGGGGCGGCACAGCUCUGCAACGAGUAGACUAUGUGAAUAGCGUAGGAGUUGACGUCGAGGAUGCAGAAAGUCGGGGAUUGAUGAAGCCGGUUGGCUUGGGGGAAAGGAACCCACUUUCUUCGAAGCCUUUCCCGAGAGUUGAGUCUGCCCUCUCAAUGCUGGACGACGACGAUGUCUGCCCCACCUGUCUUGAUGGGUACACUGAGGAGAAUCCUAGGAUAACCACUGGUUGCGGCCACAACUUUCAUCUCGCUUGCAUUUACGAAUGGAUGGAGCGCAGCAAUCGCUGCCCUAUUUGUGACAAGGAAAUGAUUUUCAGUGAGAGUCUCUAGGCUCUAGGUUGGUGGGGAAUUGCACCCAUCACAGGGAUUUUCUGAAAGCCUAACCGAAUGGAGAAGGAAGUUCGUCCACGAUUGCUACUGUGCACAACAGUGAGCUCAUUGCAGCCAAUGGGGUAUAGAAUGAUCAUGGUGGCUUCCUUGUUCAAGUUUUCCAAGCAUCAGUAAUGGAAAUCCUAGCGGACCAAAGGCCACAUGGGUUAUUAAAAAGUAAGAAAAAGUGAUAUUAUGCUAUUCUAUCCCGUACCAUAUCUAUUCUGUAUCAAAUAUCAUUUCAAUAUUAAUAGGUGCAGGACUAUUUGUAUCUACUGGUUUAAUCUAUAAACGAAAAAGUCCUCAAGAGAGAUUAUUUCAA